rnacentral:rRNA from 1 species
AUACGUAGGGUGCAAGCGUUAAUCGGAAUUACUGGGCGUAAAGCGUGCGCAGGCGGUUUUGUAAGACAGUGGUGAAAUCCCCGGGCUCAACCUGGGAACUGCCAUUGUGACUGCAAGGCUGGAGUGCGGCAGAGGGGGAUGGAAUUCCGCGGGUAGCAGUGAAAUGCGUAGAUAUGCGGAGGAACACCGAUGGCGAAGGCAAUCCCCUGGGCCUGCACUGACGCUCAUGCACGAAAGCGUGGGGAGCAGACAGGAUUAGAUACCCUGGUAGUCCACGCCCUAAACGAUGUCAACUGGUUGUUGGGGAUUUAUUUUCUCAGUAACGAAGCUAACGCGUGAAGUUGACCGCCUGGGGAGUACGGCCGCAAGGUUAAAACUCAAAUGAAUUGACGGGG